GNCGGCAUGCNUUACACNUGCAAGUCGAACGGUANCAGGGAGCUGNUCCGCUGACGAGUGCGAACGGGUGAGUNAUGCGUCGGAACGUGCCGAGUAGUGGGGGAUAACUAUCCGAAAGGAUAGCUAAUACCGCAUACGCUUGAGAAGGAAAGCAGGGGAUCGCAAGANCNUGCGCUAUUUGAGCGGCCGACGUCUGAUUAGCUAGUUGGUGAGGUAAAGGCUCACCAAGGCAUCGAUCAGUAGCGGGUCUGAGAGGAUGAUCCGCCACACUGGGACUGAGACACGGCCCAGACUCNUACGGGAGGCAGCAGUGGGGAAUUUUGGACAAUGGGCGCAAGCCUGAUCCAGCCAUGCCGCGUGUCUGAAGAAGGCCUUCGGGUUGUAAAGGACUUUUGUCAGGGAGGAAAUUCCUAGCGCUAAUAUCGCUGGGGGAUGACAGUACCUGAAGAAUAAGCACCGGCUAACUACGUGCCAGCAGCCGCGGUAAUACGUAGGGUGCAAGCGUUAAUCGGAAUUACUGGGCGUAAAGCGUGCGCAGGCGGUUGUGUAAGUCUGAUGUGAAAGCCCCGGGCUUAACCUGGGAACUGCAUUGGAGACUGCACAGCUAGAGUGCGUCAGAGGGGGGUAGAAUUCCGCGUGUAGCAGUGAAAUGCGUAGAGAUGCGGAGGAAUACCGAUGGCGAAGGCAGCCCCCUGGGAUGACACUGACGCUCAUGCACGAAAGCGUGGGGAGCAAACAGGAUUAGAUACCCUGGUAGUCCACGCCCUAAACGAUGUCAACUAGCUGUUGGGGGUUUGAAUCCUUGGUAGCGUAGCUAACGCGAGAAGUUGACCGCCUGGGGAGUACGGCCGCAAGGUUAAAACUCAAAGGAAUUGACGGGGACCCGCACAAGCGGUGGAUGAUGUGGAUUAAUUCGAUGCAACGCGAAAAACCUUACCUGGUCUUGACAUGUACAGAACUUUCCAGAGAUGGAUUGGUGCCCGAAAGGGAGCUGUAACACAGGUGCUG
rnacentral:rRNA from 1 species